rnacentral:lncRNA from 1 species
CUAAUUGGAAUAUUACUAAAUUUUGGUCUCAAACCUAUGCUCUCAUCAAUGUGGUGUUAUGCUUAUCACUAAACUUCUAUCCACGGCAUGUACAAAUUGUUGUGGAAUAUCAAAUGAGUGUGGAAUCCUUGCAUACUACAGCACUACAGCUCUUCAAUGAAGAAACUGCCGUCCAAGACGUGACAAGCGUCGCCUAAAUGGUUAACGAGUAACGUAUGCUGUUCCUCAAGCUGGUCCUGGUACCUCCGAUGCCGGUAGGAAUCAAGCAUGCUGUACACCUCUUCCUCCUGUUCAUCUACAACAAACGGCCGGCCAACAGUUACUUGCAUAUAUAUCUCAUCUCUACCUCAUCCUUCUACUACUCUUUUUGUAAGCCUGCAUAGGCUACCAAAAUAACAAAUGUGCUCUACCAAAUGAGUACAGCCAGUAUUCGAGUAGCAUUCACAGGAAAAUUGACAUCAAACCCC